UAUACCGUGAAACUGCGAAUGGCUCAUUAAAUCAGUUAUCGUUUAUUUGAUAGUACCUUACUACUUGGAUAACCGUGGUAAUUCUAGAGCUAAUACAUGCUGAAAACCCCAACUUCGGGAGGGGUGUAUAUAUUAGAUAAAAAACCAACGCCCUUCGGGGCUUCUUGGUGAUUCAUGAUAUCUUUACGGAUCGCAUGGCCUUGCGCCGGCGACGGUUCAUUCAAAUUUCUGCCCUAUCAACUUUCGAUGGUAAGGUAUUGGCUUACCAUGGUUUCAACGGGUAACGGGGAAUUAGGGUUCGAUUCCGGAGAGGGAGCCUGAGAAACGGCUACCACAUCCAAGGAAGGCAGCAGGCGCGCAAAUUACCCAAUCCCGACACGGGGAGGUAGUGACAAUAAAUACUGAUACAGGGCUCUUUUGGGUCUUGUAAUUGGAAUGAGUACAAUUUAAACCUCUUAACGAGGAACAAUUGGAGGGCAAGUCUGGUGCCAGCAGCCGCGGUAAUUCCAGCUCCAAUAGCGUAUAUUAAAGUUGUUGCAGUUAAAAAGCUCGUAGUUGAACCUUGGGUCUGGCUGGCAGGUCCGCCUCACCGCGUGUACUUGUCCGGCCGGGCCUUCCUUCUGGAGAACCUCAUGCCCUUCACUGGGCGUGUUGGGGACCAGGACUUUUACUUUGAAAAAAUUAGAGUGUUCAAAGCAGGCCUUUGCUCGAAUACGUUAGCAUGGAAUAAUAGAAUAGGACGUGCGGUCCUAUUUUGUUGGUUUCUAGGACCGCCGUAAUGAUUAAUAGGGACAGUCGGGGGCAUCAGUAUUCAAUUGUCAGAGGUGAAAUUCUUGGAUUUAUUGAAGACUAACUACUGCGAAAGCAUUUGCCAAGGAUGUUUUCAUUAAUCAGUGAACGAAAGUUAGGGGAUCGAAGACGAUCAGAUACCGUCGUAGUCUUAACCGUAAACUAUGCCGACUAGGGAUCGGGCGAUGUUCUUUUUCUGACUCGCUCGGCACCUUACGAGAAAUCAAAGUU
rnacentral:rRNA from 1 species